rnacentral:rRNA from 1 species
UAUGAAGAGUUUGAUCCUGGCUCAGGAUGAACGCUGGCGGCGUGCCUAAUACAUGCAAGUCGAGCGAACGGACGAGAAGCUUGCUUCUCUGAUGUUAGCGGCGGACGGGUGAGUAACACGUGGAUAACCUACCUAUAAGACUGGGAUAACUUCGGGAAACCGGAGCUAAUACCGGAUAAUAUUUUGAACCGCAUGGUUCAAAAGUGAAAGACGGUCUUGCUGUCACUUAUAGAUGGAUCCGCGCUGCAUUAGCUAGUUGGUAAGGUAACGGCUUACCAAGGCAACGAUGCAUAGCCGACCUGAGAGGGUGAUCGGCCACACUGGAACUGAGACACGGUCCAGACUCCUACGGGAGGCAGCAGUAGGGAAUCUUCCGCAAUGGGCGAAAGCCUGACGGAGCAACGCCGCGUGAGUGAUGAAGGUCUUCGGAUCGUAAAACUCUGUUAUUAGGGAAGAACAUAUGUGUAAGUAACUGUGCACAUCUUGACGGUACCUAAUCAGAAAGCCACGGCUAACUACGUGCCAGCAGCCGCGGUAAUACGUAGGUGGCAAGCGUUAUCCGGAAUUAUUGGGCGUAAAGCGCGCGUAGGCGGUUUUUUAAGUCUGAUGUGAAAGCCCACGGCUCAACCGUGGAGGGUCAUUGGAAACUGGAAAACUUGAGUGCAGAAGAGGAAAGUGGAAUUCCAUGUGUAGCGGUGAAAUGCGCAGAGAUAUGGAGGAACACCAGUGGCGAAGGCGACUUUCUGGUCUGUAACUGACGCUGAUGUGCGAAAGCGUGGGGAUCAAACAGGAUUAGAUACCCUGGUAGUCCACGCCGUAAACGAUGAGUGCUAAGUGUUAGGGGGUUUCCGCCCCUUAGUGCUGCAGCUAACGCAUUAAGCACUCCGCCUGGGGAGUACGACCGCAAGGUUGAAACUCAAAGGAAUUGACGGGGACCCGCACAAGCGGUGGAGCAUGUGGUUUAAUUCGAAGCAACGCGAAGAACCUUACCAAAUCUUGACAUCCUUUGACAACUCUAGAGAUAGAGCCUUCCCCUUCGGGGGACAAAGUGACAGGUGGUGCAUGGUUGUCGUCAGCUCGUGUCGUGAGAUGUUGGGUUAAGUCCCGCAACGAGCGCAACCCUUAAGCUUAGUUGCCAUCAUUAAGUUGGGCACUCUAAGUUGACUGCCGGUGACAAACCGGAGGAAGGUGGGGAUGACGUCAAAUCAUCAUGCCCCUUAUGAUUUGGGCUACACACGUGCUACAAUGGACAAUACAAAGGGCAGCGAAACCGCGAGGUCAAGCAAAUCCCAUAAAGUUGUUCUCAGUUCGGAUUGUAGUCUGCAACUCGACUACAUGAAGCUGGAAUCGCUAGUAAUCGUAGAUCAGCAUGCUACGGUGAAUACGUUCCCGGGUCUUGUACACACCGCCCGUCACACCACGAGAGUUUGUAACACCCGAAGCCGGUGGAGUAACCUUUUAGGAGCUAGCCGUCGAAGGUGGGACAAAUGAUUGGGGUGAAGUCGUAACAAGGUAGCCGUAUCGGAAGGUGCGGCUGGAUCACCUCCUU